rnacentral:rRNA from 1 species
UACAGAGGGUGCGAGCGUUAAUCGGAAUUACUGGGCGUAAAGCGUGCGUAGACGGUCAAGUAAGUCGGGUGUGAAAGCCCCGGGCUCAACCUGGGAAUUGCAUUCGAGACUGCGUGGCUAGGGUGCGGAAGAGGGAAGCGGAAUUUCCGGUGUAGCGGUGAAAUGCGUAGAUAUCGGAAGGAACACCAGUGGCGAAAGCGGCUUCCGGGUCCAGCACCGACGUUCAGGCACGAAAGCGUGGGGAGCAAACAGG